rnacentral:tRNA from 2 species
CGGGGUGUAGCGCAGCCUGGUAGCGCACCUGUUUUGGGAGCAGGUUGUCGGAGGUUCGAAUCCUCUCACCCCGA